rnacentral:rRNA from 1 species
AUUGAACGCUGGCGGCAUGCUAACACAUGCAAGUCGAACGAGUUGUAGCAAUACAGCUAGUGGCGGACGGGUGAGGAAUACAUAGGAAUUUGCCUUUAAGUGGGGGAUAGCCCGGGGAAACUCGGAGUAAUACCGCAUGAUGUCGAGAGACCAAAGCAGGGGACCGCAAGGCCUUGCGCUUUUAGAGAAGCCUAUGUCGGAUUAGCUAGUUGGUAGGGUAAUGGCCUACCAAGGCGACGAUCCGUAACUGGUCUGAGAGGACGAUCAGUCACACUGGAACUGAGACACGGUCCAGACUCCUACGGGAGGCAGCAGUGGGGAAUAUUGGACAAUGGGCGCAAGCCUGAUCCAGCAAUGCCGCGUGUGUGAAGAAGGCCUUCGGGUUGUAAAGCACUUUAAGCAGGGAAGAAAAAAUCGGCGAUAACAUCGCCGGUCUUGACGGUACCUGAAGAAUAAGCACCGGCUAACUCUGUGCCAGCAGCCGCGGUAAUACAGAGGGUGCAAGCGUUAAUCGGAUUUACUGGGCGUAAAGCGUGUGUAGGUGGUUGGGAAAGUCGAUUGUGAAAUCCCUGGGCUCAACCCGGGAACUGCUUUCGAAACUGUCUGACUAGAAUUCGGUAGAGGGAGGCGGAACUCCAGGUGUAGCGGUGAAAUGCGUAGAUAUCUGGAAGGACACCAAUGGCGAAGGCAACCUCCUGGGCCUGAAUUGACACUGAGACACGAAAGCGUGGGGAUCAAACAGGAUUAGAUACCCUGGUAGUCCACGCCGUAAACGAUGAGAACUUGACGUCGGUUUGCUCUGCGAAUCGGUGUCGUAGCUAACGCGAUAAGUUCUCCGCCUGGGGAGUGCGGCCGCAAGGUUGA